rnacentral:rRNA from 1 species
GGGGGGGGGGGGGGGGGGGGGGGGGGGGGGGGGGGCGGGCGGGAGGGCGGGUGCGUGCAGGGGUACUCGGGGGGCGGGGGGGUGGGUAACCCGUGGGGGAUCUGCCCUGCACUUCGGGAUACGCCUGGGCAACUGGGUCUAAUACCGGGUAGGACCACAUAUUGGGUGGUGUGGGGGGACGGUUUUCGGUGUGGUAUGAGCUCGCGUACUAUCAGCGUGUUGGUGGGGUAAUGGCCUACCAAGGCGUCGACGGGUAGCCGGCCGGAGAGGGUGUACGGCCACAUUGGGACUGAGAUACGGCCCAGACUCCUACGGGAGGCAGCAGUGGGGAAUAUUGCACAAUGGGCGCAAGCCUGAUGCAGCGACGCCGCGUGGGGGAUGACGGCCUUCGGGUUGUAAACUCCUUUCGCUAGGGACGAAGCGCAAGUGACGGUACCUGGAGAAGAAGCACCGGCUAACUACGUG